rnacentral:rRNA from 1 species
GGUAUAGACCCGAAACCCGGUGAUCUAGCCAUGGGCAGGUUGAAGGUUGGGUAACACUAACUGGAGGACCGAACCGACUAAUGUUGAAAAAUUAGCGGAUGACUUGUGGCUGGGGGUGAAAGGCCAAUCAAACCGGGAGAUAGCUGGUUCUCCCCGAAAGCUAUUUAGGUAGCGCCUCGUGAAUUCAUCUUCGGGGGUAGAGCACUGUUUCGGCUAGGGGGUCAUCCCGACUUACCAACCCGAUGCAAACUACGAAUACCGAAGAAUGUUAUCACGGGAGACACACGGCGGGUGCUAACGUCCGUCGUGAAGAGGGAAACAACCCAGACCGCCAGCUAAGGUCCCAAAGUCAUGGUUAAGUGGGAAACGAUGUGGGAAGGCACAGACAGCCAGGAUGUUGGCUUAGAAGCAGCCAUCAUUUAAAGAAAGCGUAAUAGCUCACUGGUCGAGUCGGCCUGCGCGGAAGAUGUAACGGGGCUAAACCAUGCACCGAAGCUGCGGCAGCGACGCUUAUGCGUUGUUGGGUAGGGGAGCGUUCUGUAAGCCUGCGAAGGUGGCCUGUGAGGGUUGCUGGAGGUAUCAGAAGUGCGAAUGCUGACAUAAGUAACGAUAAAGCGGGUGAAAAGCCCGCUCGCCGGAAGACCAAGGGUUCCUGUCCAACGUUAAUCGGGGCAGGGUGAGUCGACCCCUAAGGCGAGGCCGAAAGGCGUAGUCGAUGGGAAACAGGUUAAUAUUCCUGUACUUGGUGUUACUGCGAAGGGGGGACGGAGAAGGCUAUGUUAGCCGGGCGACGGUUGUCCCGGUUUAAGCAUGUAGGCUGGUUAUCCAGGCAAAUCCGGAUAAUCAAGGCUGAGGUGUGAUGACGAGGCACUACGGUGCUGAAGUAACAAAUGCCCUGCUUCCAGGAAAAGCCUCUAAGCAUCAGGUAACAUCAAAUCGUACCCCAAACCGACACAGGUGGUCAGGUAGAGAAUACCAAGGCGCUUGAGAGAACUCGGGUGAAGGAACUAGGCAAAAUGGUGCCGUAACUUCGGGAGAAGGCACGCUGGUGUGUAGGUGAAGCCCCUGCGGGUGGAGCUGAGACCAGUCGAAGAUACCAGCUGGCUGCAACUGUUUAUUAAAAACACAGCAC